GAUGAACGCUAGCGGCAGGCCUAACACAUGCAAGUCGAGGGAGAAGCCCUUUCGGGGGCAGAAACCGGCGCACGGGUGCGUAACGCGUAUGCAACCUACCUUUCACAGGGGGAUAGCCCGAAGAAAUUUGGAUUAAUACCCCAUAAUAUUAUUGGAUGGCAUCAUUUGAUAAUUAAAACUGCGGUGGUGAAAGAUGGGCAUGCGUCCUAUUAGCUAGUUGGAGUGGUAACGGCACCCCAAGGCUACGAUAGGUAGGGGUCCUGAGAGGGAGAUCCCCCACACUGGUACUGAGACAGGGACCAGACUCCUACGGGAGGCAGCAGUGAGGAAUAUUGGUCAAUGGUCGGAAGACUGAACCAGCCAUGCCGCGUGCAGGAAGAAUGCCUUAUGGGUUGUAAACUGCUUUUAUAUGGGAAGAAUAAGGCGUACGUGUACGUUGAUGACGGUACCAUAUGAAUAAGCAUCGGCUAACUCCGUG
rnacentral:rRNA from 1 species